rnacentral:lncRNA from 10 species
GCUCAAACAAUUAGAGAUUUAUUUAAUUUUACAGAACAUCAUUGGAAGUUGGCAAUUCAGGGCUGAUUCAGUGCUCAGCAAUGUCAUGAAAGACCGUGACUUCUUCUGUCUUUCUGCUCUAUCCUGCUCAGUGAGUGGUUUUCAUUUCUAGGCCUGUUGGAUUCAUAGUCACAAGAUGGCUGCUGCACCACAAGGCCCCACAACCACAUUCCAGGCUGGAAGAAAAGAGAAAGGGACUGCCUGUGUGACUAAUAGCAUAUGGCAGAAGUGAGAGUACAUCACUUGGGUCAUUUACUCUGUGGGAAGAGAGCUGCCACGGCACGAGCAGCCCCUUGGAGAGGCCUACACAGUGAGGAACUGAGGCUUCCUCCUGACAGCCCUGUGAGUGCGCCAUUUUGAAGGUAGAGCAUCCGGCCCAGGCAGGCCUUGAGCUGACUGCAGCCCCUGCCAAAAUCUGAACUGCAGCUUGGCCAGACAUCCUGGCCAGAACCACCCAGUUAAAAUGCCCCUGAUAAGACUCAAACACUAUGUCGGAUAAUAAUGUUUACUGCUUUAAGCCACCAACCAUGCAACUAAAGAUAAUUAAUAAAAGAGGACAUAAUAAUUUGUAUAAAAUAAUUAUGUCUUG